rnacentral:rRNA from 1 species
UUUGAUGGCGACCGGCGCACGGGUGAGUAACACGUAUCCAACCUGCCGAUGACUCGGGGAUAGCCUUUCGAAAGAAAGAUUAAUACCCGAUGGCAUAGUUCUUCCGCAUGGUAGAACUAUUAAAGAAUUUCGGUCAUCGAUGGGGAUGCGUUCCAUUAGGUUGUUGGCGGGGUAACGGCCCACCAAACCUUCGAUGGAUAGGGGUUCUGAGAGGAAGGUCCCCCACAUUGGAACUGAGACACGGUCCAA